rnacentral:rRNA from 1 species
ACGAAGGGGGCUAGCGUUGUUCGGAAUUACUGGGCGUAAAGCGCGCGCAGGCGGCUAUCCAAGUCAGUGGUGAAAGCCCGGAGCUCAACUCCGGAACUGCCAUUGAAACUGUUUAGCUUGAGGAUGAGAGAGGUGAGUGGAAUUCCCAGUGUAGAGGUGAAAUUCGUAGAUAUUGGGAAGAACACCGGUGGCGAAGGCGGCUCACUGGACUGGUAUUGACGCUGAGGUGCGAAAGCGUGGGGAGCAAACAGGA